AUCCAACUGACGAGCCCCAAAUAGGACGAAACGCGCGUCAAACUAGAU
rnacentral:hammerhead_ribozyme from 1 species